UUUAUAGACACACACAGUAUAUAUAUAUAUGUAUGUAUUUGUUUAUGUCUAUGUAUUUAUUAACAGACUAGCUUAAAUGAAAUGUUGCUUUAGAGCGGAUCAAAGCCUUUAAUAUUUGAAGAAGACUGAAAGGUACUUAUGCGGUUUCCCAGAAGAGCAGAUGAAGGUUAAUUCCAGGAAAUUUUGUUGUGGUGAAGAGGUCACUAAGUAGAUACCCAUUUGCUGGUGUGGCCGAACUGACCAAUCAGAUCUCAGCAAUGACUAAGCAGGUGGAGGGAGUUUCCCAAGGUUAUUUAACCUAAAGAAUAACUAUGAUGCCACUCUGAUGUCAGUUUGAUGAAGCACAUGGUCCAUAUUUACAGACAAGACAAGAGUAGGACAGGAUGACAAACGAGGAAUUUUUUCCAUUGAAAACUGUUUAAUGUUCUGAAGUGAGGAAAUUAUUAGGGAUUGUUUUGUUGCUAUGUUGGCUUUUUUUUCUUUUAGAGGGUCAGGCUGUGUUUUAUAACCAGGAAUUCAGGAAUUCAUCCAGCAGAGUAUGGUUUGAGUUACUUAUUAUUUAUUCCCAGCCGGAUCCAAACACACUCAUGGUUUUCCUGUUUAUGUGGACAGUGCGUAUCAUAAGCCAAAGAAAUUGCCUGGAAAAAAAGGAGCAGUCAUUGGCACUCCACAUUAGAAUGAAUAACUUGGCCAUCAGGGAACAAACUGAAUCAUCAGGAAAACAUUAGAGAGAAAUAAUUGUAUAUUCUUGUAAAGUUCAUUAUUUCAUUACAUUCUGUAUUGAAGUUUUUAAUGUAUGUUGUGCAAAGAAUAAAGUUUUCAGUCACAAAUCAAGAA